rnacentral:rRNA from 1 species
AAAAAAGGUAAGCUACUAAGAGCGAAUGGUGGAUGCCUUGACUGGUAAAGGCGAUGAAGGACGUACUAGACUGCGAUAAGCUACGGGGAGCUGUCAAGAAGCUUUGAUCCGUAGAUUUCCGAAUGGGGCAACCCAAUGUAUAGAGAUAUACAUUACCUAUAUAGGAGCGAACGAGGGGAAUUGAAACAUCUUAGUACCCUCAGGAAAAGAAAUCAAUAGAGAUUGCGUCAGUAGCGGCGAGCGAAAGCGCAAGAGGGCAAACCCAGUGCUUGCACUGGGGGUUGUAGGACUGCAAUGUGCAAGAGGUAAGUUUAGCAGAACAUUCUGGAAAGUAUAACCAUAGAGGGUGAUAGUCCCGUAUGCGAAAAACAAACCUUAGCUAGCAGUAUCCUGAGUAGGGCGGGACACGAGGAAUCCUGUCUGAAUCCGGGUCGACCACGAUCCAACCCUAAAUACUAAUACCAGAUCGAUAGUGCACAAGUACCGUGAGGGAAAGGUGAAAAGAACUGAGGUGAUCAGAGUGAAAUAGAACCUGAAACCAUUUGCUUACAAUCAUUCAGAGCCCUAUGUAGCAAUACAGGGUGAUGGACUGCCUUUUGCAUAAUGAGCCUGCGAGUUGUGGUGUCUGGCAAGGUUAAGCAAACGCGAAGCCGUAGCGAAAGCGAGUCUGAAUAGGGCGCUUAGUCAGAUGCUGCAGACCCGAAACGAAGUGAUCUAUCCAUGAGCAAGUUGAAGCUAGUGUAAGAACUAGUGGAGGACUGAACCCAUAGGCGUUGAAAAGCCCCGGGAUGACUUGUGGAUAGGGGUGAAAGGCCAAUCAAACUUCGUGAUAGCUGGUUCUCUCCGAAAUAUAUUUAGGUAUAGCGUUGUGUCGUAAUAUAAGGGGGUAGAGCACUGAAUGGGCUAGGGCAUACACCAAUGUACCAAACCCUAUCAAACUCCGAAUACCUUAUAUGUAAUCACAGCAGUCAGGCGGCGAGUGAUAAAAUCCGUCGUCAAGAGGGAAACAACCCAGACUACCAGCUAAGGUCCCUAAAUCUUACUUAAGUGGAAAACGAUGUGAAGUUACUUAAACAACCAGGAGGUUGGCUUAGAAGCAGCCAUCCUUUAAAGAAAGCGUAAUAGCUCACUGGUCUAGUGAUUUUGCGCGGAAAAUAUAACGGGGCUAAAGUAAGUACCGAAGCUGUAGACUUGCGCACAACUUAGAUUAUUUAAGUUUAGAAUAUGAGAAACUAAGUUAUAUGUUUAGUUAUAUUUUUACUGAUUUUUAUAGAGUAAAGAUAGAAAUAAAACUUAGUAAAAUCAGUAAAAAUAUUCUUAGACUAAAGUUAAGUAGUUUAAGUUGUGUGCAAGUGGUAGGAGAGCGUUCUAUUUGCGUCGAAGGUAUACCGGUAAGGAGUGCUGGAGCGAAUAGAAGUGAGCAUGCAGGCAUGAGUAGCGAUAAUUAAUGUGAGAAUCAUUAACGCCGUAAACCCAAGGUUUCCUACGCGAUGCUCGUCAUCGUAGGGUUAGUCGGGUCCUAAGUCGAGUCCGAAAGGGGUAGACGAUGGCAAAUUGGUUAAUAUUCCAAUACCAACAUUAGUGUGCGAUGGAAGGACGCUUAGGGCUAAGGGGGCUAGCGGAUGGAAGUGCUAGUCUAAGGUCGUAGGAGGUUAUACAGGCAAAUCCGUAUAACAAUACUCCGAGAACUGAAAGGCUUUUUGAAGUCUUCGGAUGGAUAGAAGAACCCCUGAUGCCGUCGAGCCAAGAAAAGUUUCUAAGUUUAGCUAAUGUUGCCCGUACCGUAAACCGACACAGGUGGGUGGGAUGAGUAUUCUAAGGCGCGUGGAAGAACUCUCUUUAAGGAACUCUGCAAAAUAGCACCGUA